GGGAGCGCUCGGGGGCUGGUGCCUCCUGCGGUCUUCAAAACCGUUGUCCCGCGCGGGUUCCCGCGUGGGGGGUGGGUUCGAUUCCCAUGCGCUUCCGCCA
rnacentral:tRNA from 1 species